rnacentral:lncRNA from 13 species
AGCCUCCCAUCAUGUGGAAUUCCAGCUAGACACAGCCAGGAGGAACAUCUCCCACUGAAAGACUGGAACACUGGAAAGACUGGCACUCUUAUAGCAGAUUUUCCGAGAGAAGGCACUGAGAGUGGAGAAAGGGAAGACACAGAGGCUGGGCUGAAGGGAGAGGAAGCUGAGAACCCUGCUUGUGUCUCCCGCAGACUCAGACUCAUUCCUGGCCCUCAAUGACUCCUCUGGGAAGGACUUAGUUGAAUGGGUAAGAAGCAAACCCCUCUCACCUUGGGCCUCUAGAUUCCUGGCAGGAGGAGAUCCCUUGAUCAAUGCGAACACUUGAGGUGGCAGGGGAAGCAGCUUAGAGAAGUGGUAGGGGCAGAACUCCAACUGGGGAUGGGGCAGAGGCCAGAUGGUUUGGUGCAGGAGCAUCUGUAGUGGAG